rnacentral:rRNA from 1 species
UACGGAGGGGCUAGCGUUGUUCGGAAUUACUGGGCGUAAAGCGCGCGUAGGCGGACCUGCAAGUCGGGGGUGAAAGCCCGAAGGCUCAACCUCGGAACUGCCUUCGAUACUGCGGGUCUCGAGUCCGGGAGAGGUGAGUGGAAUUCCUAGUGGUAGUAGGUGAAAUUCGUAGAUAUUAGGAAGAACACCAGUGGCGAAAGGCGGCUC